GGUAAGUCGUAAACCUUUGGAGUUUAGAUAUGAGUGUUCAAAUCACUUCAACAU
rnacentral:tRNA from 1 species